UCCGUAUCGAUAAGGUUGGUUCUAUUCGAGAUGUGGCCACGUCCGGGACGCUUGGUACACAACAAAUCUCGUGCUGUCGUCUCCUUCUGUCCGGUCUCUCGCCUCCCCUCGCCUCCAUCCCAUCGCAGACAAGCCGACGAGAGAAGAAUUUUUGCUAUUUUUACUCGCCACCUCCACUCUUCGCUAUACAUCUCGUAUACCGAACCGACAUUCUGGAGCAGAUCAAGACGAAAAUGGGGAAGACCAACAAGGCCAAGAACGAUUCUAGCAGGUCUCUAUUCCGUAGCAAACAGCAGAGAGAUCCGUGCAUAAGCAAGUUACAACUCUCUUUACUGAACAGCGGCUUACUCAACGUGUCCGACGGUGACAAAGCCACGAACCUCAUACCACAGAAGCCCAUAGAAUUGCAUAAAUUCCCUAAACACGUUGAAAAUUUAAGAAAAUAUGACAUACUCUUAAAAACGGAAUUCCAGGUUUCUACUAAAGGUGAAUCCCAUAGUGUUCGCCAUGCACUUAAACCAGGCAACGAAUUAAAAAACAGCUACAAAAAGCUAAUUCCAUUUGAUUUUAAUAGAGUAGUUUUGGAAACUAUCCACGGAGUUCCAGACUCGGAUUAUGUAAAUGCCUCGUAUAUUGACAGUAUUGUUAAGCCAAACGCCUACAUAGCAGCUCAAGGACCAAAUGAAUAUACCAUUGCUGACUUUUGGAGGAUGGUUUGGGAACAAAAUUCUUACGUUAUUGUUAUGUUGACCAAAGUAUUUGACUUUAUUAGAGUUAUGUGUGUUCAAUAUUGGCCUAGCGAAAUCAAUCAAUCGGAAUCGUACGGUGAUUUAGAGACGAUAUUACUAUCCGAAGAAAUGUUAGCCAACUUUCUUAUUAGAACCAUCAGGUUAAGAAAAGGUGACGAAGUGAGAGACAUUACUCAAUUACACUAUACCAAUUGGCCCUCUCACACUUGCCCAUUUUCCAGUGCUUUAUUGGAGUUUAGACGUAGAGUCAGGAUUUAUAUGAGUUACCCUCCUAACUCGGGUCCUACUAUCGUCCAUUGUAGUGACGGUUGUGGUCGUACAGGAACUUAUCUUUGUAUCGAUGCUAAUCUAGAAUUAGCCGAAGAAGACAACGUAUACGAUGCAUUCGGUUAUACCAAAAAGUUAAGACAAUCCAGAAGAGGAAUGGUAGAAAACGUGGAUCAUUAUAGAUUUAUCCACGAAACGUUGGAAGAAGCUCACGUGUGCGGUAUCACUUGGUUUCCCGUCACCCAAAUUUCUCAACAACUCAAGCACAAAUCAAUGAAGAAUCCUAUAACCAAACAAAACGAAUACCAGAGAGAAUAUGAGUGUUUGAAAAUAUGCAAAAUGGCCUCCAAGUUGUCGAUUGGUGAUUGCGCCGGAGGACAUCGACCCGAAAACAGAGAAAAGAACAGAGAUGUUGCAAUUGUACCACCUGAUAAUUUUCGGCCAUAUUUAACGUCCUUUCAAAGUAACGAUAACACCGAUUAUAUCAAUGCAGUCUUCGUCGAUGGUUAUACCAGACCAAAGGAAUACAUCGUGACGGAGUGGCCUUUACAGAAAACCAUCGCGGAUUUUUGGUCGUUGGUGUACGAUCACGAAUGUAAUUCAGUCAUCGUCUUAUGCAGUCCAGUUCCUUGUAAUGCAUUUCCUCCGUUUUGGCCCACAGAGAGAGAGAAACGAAAAAAGUACGGACCCGUUUUCACGGUAGAACUGGUCUCCUAUAACCAUUAUCCCAAUAUCAAAACGUGGAUCUUCAAGAUUUUAAAGAAGAUAGUGUCGCUCACGGAACUGAUGGCCGGUGUCAAAGCCGAACCGAGAACGACUCAGUUGUUUCAACUGACGUGUUGGCCGGUAGGUCACAAAGUGCCUACGUCUACUAAUGCUUUAGUAGAAUUGAUGAACAUGGUAGAGAGAUGGAGGCAGAGAACGGAGUAUGGCCCGGUCGUGGUGUUAUCUGCGAAUGGAAGGAGUAGGGUAGGAGUGUAUUGUGCUGCAAAUGUAGCGACAGAGCAGGUUGUACAACACAGAGAAGUUGACAUUUUCCAAGCUGUGAAGACAGUCCGUCGCCAUAGACCUCAACUUGUCGAAAAUAUGCAGAAGUUAUAAUGUAGUCUGAAUCUAGAGAGAAUCCUUUUUACUUUUGAAGAGAAAUAUCAGAAUAACAUUAGACAUCACAGAAUAUAAGUACUGCUAUGAUUUGGUUCUGCACUAUAUUCUUCAUUAUCUUCAUAAAGAAUGAGAGAAGCCAAUUUUGAAUUGAUUUUAAAGUCCAACAAUAACAAAUUUAUUUUUUGAAGUUAAUUUCUAUUUGAAUGUUGGCAAAAAUAUUUUGUUUGUAACAAAUAUAAGUUGUAUUUCUUGCAGAAAUUUAACAUACAAAAAAACACAAUGCAUUUAUAAAAGAAAUCGUUAUAACACACAAGCAAGUCCUUAUUCAAAAAGUAUUAGAUAAUAUUUAUUAAUACUAUACUGUAAAAGAUUCAUUUAAAAAUUAACUAUAACGUGAAGAUAAGUUUUAAAUUUGGAAAUACAAUGUAUAGAUAUACAUCUAAUGAGUCAUUUAGAUUAAUCGAUUUCGAACAAGUUUUAACAUUAAUGCAGUAUUAUGCGGUAGACUCUUGGCUAUCGGGUUUGGAUCUAGCAACAUGUCCAAUAGUAGUAAGUAGAGAAAAAGACAAUUGCAAAAAUUUGUUAAGACAUACAACUAAAUAUUUUGCACCAGAUGGUACAAAUGUAGUGGCAAAUAGAUUUUGAUUUAUGACAAAAUGGUAUGUUACAAUGUAUAAAAAUGCAAAUGUUUUGCCGGCCAAGCAGCAACUGUCAGUUUGCUUAUCAAAGAUUGUCUUUCCCAUCUGUAAAGGAUAAUCAAGAGUCUACCAAUCAUCAUCCAAAAUGCAACUUUUCAGAUUCAUUAAUGGCAGACUAUUAACUUUUGGAUUAUCAAAAAUAUUUAUCUACUAAGAAAAAGUUAAAUUAUCAAUUGUAUUAUAUUGUAGAAAAAUAUAUAUAAAUGUGAAAAAUUAUAAACUAUUUUGAUGUAGUGAAAUUUUAAAACAUUUGAACUGUUUGAAUUACAUCUAUGCAUAUAAUAUACUGUUAUAAUGAAUUUGAAAGUUCUUUAUGCCAAAACAUAAAUUUUUAUAAGCCGUUGGCUAUUUAGUGUAGCAGAUGGUGAUGUGACAAAAAUCUGACUAGAACAUCCAAAAUUGCCUUUCUACAUGGCCACAAUCUGUCUACAAUGAAUCUUAAUGUCCAUUGGCAAGUAUUCACAUAGGCACAUUUCAAAGCAGCAAACUUAAUUAACAUCAAACCUGGAUUUGUCCAUGUUGUGCCAAAAAAAUCAAAUGAUAUUGGCACAUUGUCACCGCUGAGAGCAAUCUUAUAGGUGACUACAUUUUUCCAUGCCACAUGGAGUUUAUUUACCAAUAAGAAAACAAAGAAUUUUGUAUACUAAAAUCAUAUAUACUUCACAACUGAUAUGGAAGAAAAUUUGCAAAUUCUAUUUUAACUUAGAUGCAAAAAAAAAACUAAAAAUGGUGUGCCUUGACGUGCUAAACACCUUUUGUCAGAUUGCCAAAAAUUGCAGGGAAUUUUUAUCUGUGCAGAUAUUAAAGUUUUAGGAAAUAAAUGAAUAUUUUCAUACACACAGUAUGCAUCUAUCACACAUGGGAGCAGUUGAUUAUUUCUAUAUUCGAAUCAAUUAUUCCUUUUAUAUUAUACAAUACGUAUUACACUUCUAAUUACAGAGUGAGUGAAGCCAAAAUUUUAACGUUUGUAUCCGAUAGAUUAUUAUGAUUAUCAUCAAUUGCUAGAUUUAUAAUCAAAAUUCCAGUCUCAUCUUUAUAUAACCAGGGACCACUAAUAAUAUCCUGGUAUCUUUAAAAUUUCAAUUUUUUAAUUAUAUUCUCUCUCAAUGAAAGAGUAUAUUUAAAAAUGUAUGUAUACAAAAAUAUAUAUAUAUAUCUAUAUAAGUGAAUUAAUUUGUACAUUUGUGUAUAAAAUGCUUAAGUAAAUUUGUAAAUUAGAAAUGUGUUUGUGACAAUGAUUGUAAUUUGUGAUAGUAUGCCAUAUGCAAAAUUGUCAAAUGAAGCAAAAUAUAAUAUAGAAUUUUAUAUAAAAAAACAAUUAAAAAAAUUGUUGUUGUACAUAUCUUUCUAUAAGCUUUGUUACCAAUAAUAGAUGUAUUAUUAUAAUAUAACAAAUGCUGUUUGAUACUAUUAUAAAUGUAAUAAAUAAAAAUUAUAAUGAGUAAUCUGUACAGGUUUUUUUUAAAAAAAAAAUUAACAUUUCCAAAACGUAAUACAAGACAAAAUUUCCAAUAUUACUAAUGAGAUUUUUAUAUAAGACAAACCAACAAUAUACUGAAUGUAUAGUAGAAGUUCCUUAGUCCAGCAGCUACAGGACUAAAGUUGUGUCACAUUAUUGGAUAUAAUUGUAUUUUGCAAAAAAUUUGGUGGUAAGUUAUAUACAAUCUGAAUGUUGCAGUUAGUGUGUGCUGAUUCAAAAAUAUAGCCAUAUUUUAUAUGAUUGAUUAAAUAUGCUUAAACAAAUCAUAGUCUGAAAAGAUUGUUAAACUUGACUGAAUAAUCUCAGUCAUAUACUGUAAAAAUGUCAGUAAUCAUGUUAUUGAAUAUUUACAAUAUUUACAUUAUUAUUAUUACAAUAUGAAUGAAUUAUUUUCACACCACAUGCCCAAAAAACUCAAUUUGCAGAAUACU
rnacentral:misc_RNA from 1 species